AGUGAACGCUGGCGGUAGGCCUAACACAUGCAAGUCGAACGGCAGCACAGUAAGAGCUUGCUCUUACGGGUGGCGAGUGGCGGACGGGUGAGGAAUACAUCGGAAUCUACUUUUUCGUGGGGGAUAACGUAGUGAAACUUACGCUAAUACCGCAUACGACCUACGGGUGAAAGCAGGGGAUCUUCGGACCUUUCGCGAUUGAAUGAGCCGCUGUCGGAUUAGCUAGUUGGCGGGGUAAUGGCCCACCAAGGCGACGAUCCGUAGCUGGUCUGAGAGGAUGAUCGUCGACCUUGGAACGCGAACAAGGUCCAGACUACUACGGGAGGAAGCAGUGGGGAAAAUUAGACAAUGGGCGCAAGCCUGAUCCAGCCAUACCGCGUGGGUAAAGAAGACCUUCGGGUUGUAAAGCCCUUUUGUUGGGAAAGAAAAGCAGCAGGUUAAUACGCCGCUGUUCUGACGGUACCCAAAGAAUAAGCACCGGCUAACUUCGUG
rnacentral:rRNA from 1 species